AGAACUGCCGGGUGGAUAAAACCGGGAGGAAAGGUGGGGAUGACGUCCAAAUUCAUCAAUGGCCCCCUUUAUGGUUUCUUGGGGGGUUAACAACAACGGUGGGCUUAACAAAAUGGACCCGGGUAACAAAAACGGGAAGCGGGAGGCCGCCGAGGAUGAAGCAAAUCUGAUAAAACCGGUCUCAGUUCGGAUUGCAGGCUGCAACUCGCCUGCAUGAAGUCGGAAUCGCUAGUAAUCGCAGGUCAGCAUACUGCGGUGAAUACGUUCCCGGGACCUUGUACACACCGCCCGUCACACCACGGGGAAGUCUGCAACACCCGAAGCCGGUGAGGUAACCUGAAAAGGAGCUAGCCGUCGAAGGUGGGGCCGAUAAUUGGGGUGAAGUCGUAACAAGGUAACC
rnacentral:rRNA from 1 species